rnacentral:rRNA from 1 species
GGCGGGAUGCUGUUCACAGACUAAAUGAUGGUGGGUCCGCUCAUGGCGAGUGGGCUUAAGAUAUAGUCGGGUCGGUCUGGAAACAGGGCAGCGAAUCGCAGUACUUCACCGUUCCGUAGGUG